UACGGGGGGGGCAAGCGUUGUUCGGAAUUACUGGGCGUAAAGGGCUCGUAGGUGGCCAACUAAGUCAGACGUGAAAUCCCUCAGCUUAACUGGGGAACUGCGUCUGAUACUGGAUGGCUUGAGUUCGGGAGAGGGAUGCGGAAUUCCAGGUGUAGCGGUGAAAUGCGUAGAUAUCUGGAGGAAUACCGGUGGCGAAGGCGGCAUCCUGGACCGACAUUGACGCUGAACGGCGAAAGCUAGGGGAGCAAACGGG
rnacentral:rRNA from 1 species